rnacentral:rRNA from 1 species
UACGAAGGGGGCUAGCGUUGUUCGGAAUUACUGGGCGUAAAGGGCGCGUAGGCGGCUUGUACAGUCAGAUGUGAAAUUCCUGGGCUCAACCUGGGGGCUGCAUUUGAUACGUAUGGGCUUGAGUGGGGAAGAGGGUCGUGGAAUUCCCAGUGUAGAGGUGAAAUUCGUAGAUAUUGGGAAGAACACCGGUGGCGAAGGCGGCGACCUGGUCCUUGACUGACGCUGAGGCGCGAAAGCGUGGGGAGCGAACAGG